rnacentral:misc_RNA from 1 species
GAUGAAGAACGUAGCGAAAUGCGAUAAGUAAUGUGAAUUGCAGAAUUCAGUGAAUCAUCGAAUCUUUGAACGCACAUUGCGCCCCCUGGUAUUCCGGGGGGCAUGCCUGUCCGAGCGUCAUUACAACCCUCAAGCUCAGCUUGGUGUUGGGCCCCGCCGCCCCGGCGGGCCCUAAAGUCAGUGGCGGUGCCGUCCGGCUCCGAGCGUAGUAAUUCUUCUCGCUCUGGAGGUCCGGUCGUGUGCUCGCCAGCAACCCCCAAUUUUUUUCAGGUUGACCUCGGAUCAGGUAGGGAUACCCGCUGAACUUAUGCAUCUCAAUAAGCGGAGGA